UGAAGUGUUCUGACACUAGGACGUGUGGCUGCCAUUGGUUGGUGGGAACCAGGCUUGCCCUGGGUCAGUGUCCCCAGUG